AGUCAUAUUUGUAAGCACGUGUGCUGGUUCCUACAUGGUCGAUCUCAAGUCUCGACAAGUCAGGAAGGUGUCUCGUCCGGGCAGAAUAAUCUUUCCCUACAUGAGCUUCUACCUCCCAGGUAAUACCGUAUUACUUAUGCGCAUAUACAUAAUCCUCUGCAAUCUGUCAGUGGCACUUAGCAAUAUGACAUGAAAAUAUGGUUCUUAGCAAGUAACUUUACACAUGAUGACAUAUGUGCUCAAGAAAGAUAGGUGAGUCCAAGUCCAUAUAUCUUAAUGAUUCUAUGAACGCCUGUGUUUUCUUUAGGAACUUGUCGGUCCUUGUGAUUGGCGAGUAAGCAAAAUGUACAUUGAGCUGAACAUGAUUCACCAAUUGAUUGAUUUUACAUUCAAAUUUCUCUCAUUUUUGCAGCAAUGGAAGCAGCUUCUACGGGCCAGGGGCAGUGAGCUGGUGUUCAAGUGUUUGCCAAGCUCUAGUUGCUGGUGCAUGCACUUCUGGAUCAAG
rnacentral:lncRNA from 1 species